rnacentral:rRNA from 1 species
UACGAAGGGGGCUAGCGUUGCUCGGAAUGACUGGGCGUAAAGGGCGCGUAGGCGGAUGGCACAGUCAGAUGUGAAAUACCCGGGCUUAACCUGGGGGCUGCAUUUGAUACGUGUGAUCUAGAGUGAGGAAGAGGGUCGUGGAAUUCCCAGUGUAGAGGUGAAAUUCGUAGAUAUUGGGAAGAACACCGGUGGCGAAGGCGGCGACCUGGUCCUUGACUGACGCUGAGGCGCGAAAGCGUGGGGAGCAAACAGG